AUUGAACGCUGGCGGCAGGCCUAACACAUGCAAGUCGAACGGUAACAGAAAGUAGCUUGCUACUUUGCUGACGAGUGGCGGACGGGUGAGUAAUGUCUGGGGAUCUGCCUGAUGGAGGGGGAUAACUACUGGAAACGGUAGCUAAUACCGCAUAAUGUCGCAAGACCAAAGCGGGGGACUUUCGGGCCUCGCACCAUCAGAUGAACCCAGAUGGGAUUAGCUAGUAGGUAGGGUAAUGGCUUACCUAGGCGACGAUCCCUAGCUGGUCUGAGAGGAUGACCAGCCACACUGGAACUGAGACACGGUCCAGACUCCUACGGGAGGCAGCAGUGGGGAAUAUUGCACAAUGGGCGCAAGCCUGAUGCAGCCAUGCCGCGUGUAUGAAGAAGGCCUUCGGGUUGUAAAGUACUUUCAGUCAGGAGGAAGGGUGUGAAAUUAAUACUUUCAUGCAUUGACGUUACUGACAGAAGAAGCACCGGCUAACUCCGUGCCAGCCGCCGCCGUAA
rnacentral:rRNA from 1 species